AGAGACAGCAGUAGCCGCGGUAAUACAGAGGGUGCAAGCGUCAAUCGGAUUUACUGGGCGUAAAGGGCGCGUAGGUGGUUAUUUAAGUGAGAUGUGAAAGCCCCGGGCUUAACCUGGGAACUGCAUCUUAUACUGGGUAACUGGAGUGCAGUAGAGGGUAGUGGAAUUUCCGGUGUAGCGGUGAAAUGCGUAGAUAUCGGAAGGAACACCAGUGGCGAAGGCGGCUACCUGGACUGAGACUGACACUGAGGCGCGAGAGCGUGGGGAGCAAACAGGAUUAGAUACCCCUGUAGUCCCUGUCUCUUAUAC
rnacentral:rRNA from 1 species